rnacentral:rRNA from 1 species
GACGAACGCUGGCGGCGUGCUUAACACAUGCAAGUCGAACGAAAAGACGGAAAGAGCUUGCUCUUUUCAGAAUUGAGUGGCAAACGGGUGAGUAACACGUAAACAACCUGCCUUCAGGAUGGGGACAACAGACGGAAACGACUGCUAAUACCGAAUAAGUUCCAAGGGCCGCAUGGCCCAUGGAAGAAAAGGUGGCCUCUACCUGUAAGCUAUCGCCUGAAGAGGGGUUUGCGUCUGAUUAGCUGGUUGGAGGGGUAACGGCCCACCAAGGCGACGAUCAGUAGCCGGUCUGAGAGGAUGAACGGCCACACUGGAACUGAGACACGGUCCAGACUCCUACGGGAGGCAGCAGUGGGGGAUCUUCCGCAAUGGGCGAAAGCCUGACGGAGCAACGCCGCGUGAGUGAUGACGGCCUUCGGGUUGUAAAACUCUGUGAUCCCCUACGAAAAGGCAGAGUGCGAAGACUAAACUGCAGUGACGUACCGAAAAGCAGCC